rnacentral:tRNA from 1 species
GUGCGCUUAGCUCAGAGGAAGAGCAUCGGACUUCGAAUCCGAGGGUCGUGGGUUCGAACCCCAUAGUGCAUA